UUUAUGACUCUCGGCAACGGAUAUCUUGGCUCUCGCAUCGAUGAAGAACGCAGCGAAAUGCGAUACUUGGUGUGAAUUGCAGAAUCCCGUGAACCAUCGAGUCUUUGAACGCAAGUUGCGCCCGAGGCUAUCCGGCCGAGGGCACGCCUGCCUG
rnacentral:rRNA from 2 species